rnacentral:lncRNA from 1 species
UAUCCAUAACUGGACAAUGAUAAUGAUGAUAUGUGGCUUAAUGAUUGGAUAAUCCAUAGUUAUGAUUCUACAAAUGGCAGAUGCAUGGCUUAAUGAUCGAAUAAUUCAUGCCUAUAUUCCAGUUAUCAUAGCCAGAUCCAGAAGUUUCAAAGGAAUGAUUCCUAAUUGUGCAGUUUACUUUAAGAAUUUUAAUACUUUUCACUUUUUUACAUGACUGUACUGAACUUAUGUGGAAAAAAGAGAGGAAGAAAGAAGGAAAUCCAUAAGAGAUCUAAUAUUUGAAGGACACCAAUUAUAUAGCAAGUAUUUAAAACAGAUAAAAGUACUUAACCCCAAGAACUAAUCCACAUAGCAUGAAAAGACAUGGGAUUCGAGGAAUUAUAGAUUUCCUUUCUAUAAAACUAUUAUGUUGAGUAUGCUGAGUGAUCUUUCCAGAAAAGCUAAAUUUUAUUUCAAAGAAAAAAUAUUAUUGAAUUAUAGAGGAGAAAGUAGACCUCUAGAGGGCAUUUAAUUCUUAUUUUACUGAUGAGUAAACGCACACUCAGGGCAGAGAGCACCUGGACAGGUAAAUUCAGAGCUCUGGCUAGAAGCCAUGCCUAUGGACUCUUUGUCCCGUUGUCUUCUCAUUGUUACCCUGUCCUUCCUGAUAACCACAAUGAUCAGGAGAUAAAGAUACUCAAUGAUAAACACAUUUUACCAUUUCAAUGAUAAUGAAAAAGGAAACAGAGAUUCCUAGCAUUAGGGUCUUGAUAAUUAUUUCUUACAUGGCAUGAGGUUUUAGCCUUUUCUCAUUUGGUUCACAGGUUCAGUAUGCCCAUUGUGUAUUUUAGUGAUCCAAAUGAGGCCUUCAGGAACUAUUAUCCAUUAGAAAAACUGAUGAGAAUGUGAAAUAAAUAGACCCAAACUGUGGCUGCAUACCAGUAUUACAAGCGAGCAUGUCUGUCUCAGCAAUCAAACAGAAAGCAGCCCACUGCAUAAAGCAGAGCACUCAGCUGAGUGCUAAUCGAGGCCUAUUUCCUGGCAGGCUCCCACAGACCAUC